GAGCUGGCGUACAGCUUCCAGGUCAUGUGGCCAGCAUGACUAAGCCGCUUCUGGUGAACCAGAGCAGCACACAGAAAGCUGUUUACCUUCCCGCCAGAGUGGUACCUAUUUAUCUACUUGCACUUUGAUGUGCUUUUGAACUGCUAGGUUGGCAGGAGCAGGGACCAAGCAACGGGAGCUCACCCCGUCAUGAGGAUUCAAACCACCAACCUUCUGAUUGGCAAGUCCUAGGCUCUGUGGUUUAAUCCACAGCGCCACCCGCAUCCCUAUAAACUGCAGAGACAUGUUCAAAUGAAGCAGAGGUUAAUCACAUACCCUGCAAGUGUCUCUAUUUUCCAGGCACAACCCUGGAAUUAUGAAAGCUAUCCCAACUUCUGAUUUAAUCCCAGGAAAUCCCUAUUUCCUCUGCCGGUGUCACUGCUGCUGAGCUCAGGGAGGAGGAUGAACUGUUGGUGGUGCCAGCAGUGAUCAUUGACACAAUAGCUCCUGAACAUCUUCAGAUGCAGAAGUGAGUAAAAGUGCUCAGUAUUAGUUCUUAGUUAAAAAGGUAAAGGACUCCUGGACGGUUAAGUCCAGUCAAAGGUGACUAUGGGGUUGUUGCGCUCAUCUCACUUUCAGGCUGAGGGAGCCGGUGUUUGUCCACAGACAGCUUUCCGGGUCAUGUGGCCAGCAUGACUAAGCCACCUCUGGCUCAAUGGAACACCAUGACGGAAAACAGAGUGCACAGAAACACCAUUUACCUUCCCGCUGCAGUGGUACCUAUUUAUCUACUUGCACUGGCAUGCUUUUGAACUGCUAGUUUGCCAGAAUCUGGGACAGAGCAAUGGGAGCUCACUCCAUCACAGGGAUUCAAACUGCCUUCCGGUCAACAAGCCCAAGAGGCUCAGUCGUUUAGACCACAGCGUGACCCGUGUCCCAUUAUGUUCUAUGGGUAGCAGUAAGUAUAAUGCUUCUAGAUUGGCUAGACCUAGUAUAUAAAAAAAACAAAAAACAGGAUCCUGACCUUCUGCCCUUGACUGGGAUCUCAGUUGUGGCUAUUCCAUAUCCCUUUGCAAAACUAAAGCAACCCUUCCCACAGAGAGUUAAACAGCACUUUUAUUCAAGUAUUCUGCAACAAUAUAUUGUGAAAUAUUGCUACCGAUACAGCUGCCUGUGAUAAUUUCUUCUUUGUAGACAGAGGAAGCAAUCCUGCUUUCCUGUAAAACUGCCAAGGAGGGAGAUCUAUUUGAUACAGGGAAAAGCGUUAAAAGCAGAUUCUCUAAAUUAAAGAAAUGGCAUAUCUGAAGCGGAAAGUGUGAGAUGUGGAGAAAUGUGGGCAAUCUUUUAUAAUGGCAUCCAUAGUCCUGGCAUUCUCUAAGUUCAGCUCUUACAUUCAUUGUUCUAAGGUCAGUUUUAUUGCUGUUGCUAAAAGGUAGGAAACACCUCUGGAGCAGCAAUUGUUAAUGGUCAGUGACUCUUGCUUUUCUUGAUCAUACGUCAAGGUCUUUUUGUUCCGGUCCAAUACAUUUUCCAGCCAAGUGAGGAAGAAAUAUAAUGGCAUAGUCCUCUGCCAGAGCAUGUCUUCCACACUUUACUUCAAUAUGUGCUCCUUCAAUAAUCCUUGGGAAGAUCGCAAGCGCUGCGGAGCCCACCACUUAAUGUCCAUGAUUCAGGGCAAUUGCUCAAGCUUUUAACCAUAUGCUGUCUCUCUGUCUCAAAAUUGAUAAGCAUGGCAUGGGGAGCAGUAGUGAGCUUUAACCCUUCUUUCCCAGAAACAUGAACACUACUUGCUCCAUUAUCAGCCUUGUAGAGCUAAGGAGAUCUCAGUUGUCAAGAGAUUUCAAAUGCUGCAUUUGCUUAGAACUGUGGUGUGACUUCUUGUUAUCUUCCAAGUGUGUGUAUAACAUUAUUUUGCUGACUGAUAUAGCAGACAUUCUGACUGCAAUUCCCCUAUCCGUCCAAGCUGUCACAAGGAGGAGAAAUAAAGACUCACUUCCACAUAUAUUUCCUUUGAAAGAUAACAUGAAGAGUAGAAGUGUCCCCUGUGAAUUGCAUUACUCUCGCCACAACCCCCACCCCCGGCUAUUCUACUUGUUGCCAGUCACACACAACUGUGUUUUGUGUGAUACAGGGAACCAUCAGUGGUGCUAUUUCUGUCAACCUGUUGAUGAUAUUGUGAGUGCAGCAUUGCCUAGAAGGCUCACUGGUUUGUAAUUGAGCCAUUGAAAACCAACAAAGAAACUUCAGACAUUGAUUAACUUAAUUAAUCAAUUUGACAAUAUUGAUUAGAAAUUGCUGCUCAAACUUUUCAGGAACCAUAUGCUGUUCUUAUUUUGAUGCCAUUUCAAUUGUUCUGAUUUUGUGUUUGUGUUCAUACUUUAUGAUUGGAAUAUUUCUUCUUCCGCAUACUGCGUAGGGAACUUAAUCUUUGUUAUUGCUGUUAAUAAGUAAAUAAAUUCACAACUGUAUGAGAUUUGUACUUGAGAGACAGCAUACAAGACUCAGGAAGAAAUGAGCAAACUUUGUGAAGAAGAAGAAGAAGAAGAAGAAGAAGAAGAAGAAGAAGAAGAAGAAGCUGCUGCUGCUAAUAAACUUUAAUCUAAUAAUCUAACAAACUUUUCUAUGUCUUUGUAGAUUUGAGACAAACACUUUGACUCAUGAUAGAAGAAUUUAUAUUUGGCCAUACAAAUGAAAUGUUCAGUUUCACAACAGGGGAAAGAAAGGAACCAGUAGAUUUGUGCCAUCAUACCCACAUAGAAUAGGACACUUAACUGGAAAGCUUCAUAUUAUGAUUGUUCAUUCACUAGGUAAUGUAAUUGAAUUGACUGCCUGUUGUGCUUCAUAAAUAUACUGUAACUCAGCUUUAAGCCAAAGUAGCCCAUCUCCUCUCUCUACAAAAGCUGGUGUGUCAGCCUUAAGGAUCAGAUAGGAUUAAGGCUAAGGACAAAAUAGAGCAUAUUGCAUUUAUUUAAUUGGACACCUUCCAAAUUUAUCGUGUGAAAUCUUGUUUGACCUCCCCACCUCUGGUCAAGAAGGACACUUGCAUCGGUCUUUUGUGUAUGCAGAUCUACACAGGCCCAAUUCACCAGUAUGUGCAUAUCUUUCAAUGACCUGUGUAAACUUGGCUCCAUUGAAAGAAAGGGAAAAAACCCAUCAGAAUGUAAGAAAGCUCAGCACCUAAUAUCUGAAAUUUCCCAGGUGACAUUUUUCUGAGACAAUGUCAGAAAUUAUUCUUUUUUUUUCAUGCACCGUUAAAAAAUAAGGCCACAUUGCAUAAUUUGCUCCAAAUAUGGUUUUUUUGUUUGUUUUGUUUUUAUGUAGCAGCUGCCAUUCUGAACAUGUUACCCCCCCCCCAUUCCUCAGAAUGAAGCUAGGUUUAGGUAAAAGGUAAAGUUAAAAGACCCCUGGAUGGUUAAGUACAGCUGAAUUCGACCAUGGGGUACGGUGCUCAUCUCACUUCAGGCCAAGAGAGCCGGCGUUUGUCUGCAGACAGCUUUCUGGGUCAUGUGGCCAGCAUGGCUAAACCACUUCAUGGAAGCCAGAGCACAAGGAAACACCAUUUACCUUCCUGCCACAGUGCUACCUAUUUAUCUAUUUGUGCUGGUGUGCUUUCCAACUGCUAGGUUGGCAAGAGCUGGAACAGAGCAACCGGGAGCUCACUCCGUCACGGGGAUUCUAACCGCCGACCUUCUGAUCAGCAAGCCCAAGAGGCUCAGUGGUUUAGACCACAGCGCCACCCCUUUCUGUUCUGUUUUGUUCUGAUGUGUUUUGUGGCAGACCUUUCCUAGAUCUAGGACAAUGCAAAAUGGUGGUGAGGCAGGGAAACACAGUUGUUGCAGUUAUCACUUGCAUGGCAGGAACAUAAAACAGAAGACCUUGCAGUGGGGAGAGAAUCUAUUGUACCGCCUCUGCUAACUGUGAAUCCCAGCUAACUGUGAACUGUCAGGAAAUUUCUCUUCCUCCUGGAGAAUUCUAGCUGCCCUCACACCAAUGCCUUGAACUACAAAUAGGAUGGAUAUGUUUAAAAGGUCAUGUGUAUGUAGCUCUAAAAUACAACUCUCAUACUUGCACAUCACUUAGAUGCAUGCAUAAACUCACCCUUACACUAGAAAGAAAACAUGUGCAGCUAUGGGGGGGGGGGAAUUAUAAAAGGGACACAGGUGUCGCUGUGGGUUAAACCACAGAGCCUGGGGCUUGCCGAUCAGAAGGUCGGCGGUUUGAAUCCCUGUGACGGGGUGAGCUCCCAUUGUUCAGUCCUUGCUCCUGCCAACCUAGCAGUUCGAAAGCACGUCAAAGUGGAAGUAGAUAAAUAGGUACCGCUCCGGCGGGAAGGUAAACGGCGUUUCCAUGUGCUGCUCUGGUUUGCCAGAAGAAGCUUAGUCAUGCUGGCCACAUGACCUGUACGCCGGCUCCCUCGGCCAGUAAAGCGAGAUGAGCACUGCAACCACAGAGUCGUCCGUGACUGGACCUAAUGGUCAAGGGUCCCUUUACCUUUACCUUUAUGGAAAAAAUAGAGGCAUUCACCUAUUCAAGUUUGAUACUUAAAAUAUGCUAAAUUUAGGUCCAUGGUUCUGAACCCCCCCCCCCAAAAAAUGGUUGAGGACCUUAGCAGACCACUUAAAUUAUUUUUCUGCCUGCUGUAAUAAUUGUACUGUGCUGUGCUAGAUACUGUAAUAUUGGCAUUUGAAAUUUUUAUAUCUUCUUUUAUUUUGCAUAUAUUGCAUUUUAUUUUAUUGUAAUACAGUAAAAUACAAUAUAAAAAAGAAACAAUAAGAAUGCAAUUAAAAAUCGAUAUAACUAUUUAAUGCCUCUCCUGUCUUCAACCCCAAACACAUAGACGUACCAGCGGACCACCUGAAUGAAACUGAUGGAUGGCUUGUGGUCCAUGAACCACAGUUGUAUAGUUUUAACAGAUUUUUACUUUUUAUAUUGUAUCCAUAGCUGUCAACCUUCCCUUUUUUUUGUGGGAAAUUCCCUUAUUCCAGCGCCAUUUCCCGCUGCUUCCCGCUGCUAUCCCGGAUUGUUGGAUAUACCGUAGACUGACCCCAGGAUAGGUGAGGCUGCUGAUCCCUUAUUUUCAAAUCUGAAAGUUGACAGCUAUGGUUGUAUGCUUGUGAACCGUUUGUAGAUUAUUGCAUUUAAGAGAUAAAUGAAUUGG
rnacentral:lncRNA from 1 species